GCAACGAGCGCAACCCCUAUGUUAGUUGCCAUCAUUCAGUUGGGCACUCUAGCGAGACUGCCGGUAAUAAACCGGAGGAAGGUGGGAUGACGUCAAAUCAUCCAUCGCCCUUAUGACCUGGGCUACACACGUGCUACAAUGGUUGGUACAACGAGUUGCGAGUCGGUGACGGCGAGCUAAUCUCUUAAAGCCAAUCUCAGUUCGGAUUGUAGGCUGCAACUCGCCUACAUGAAGUCGGAAUCGCUAGUAAUCGCGGAUCAGCACGCCGCGGUGAAUACGUUCCCGGGCCUU
rnacentral:rRNA from 1 species